ensembl:lncRNA
UAUUUUUAUUCACAUUGAACUUUUAUUUUUUAUUUAGAUGCAACUUUUCUCUCAAAUCAUUCAUCUUGGAUUUAUUUUUCACAGAGCCUGUUGCAGUGCCUUUUGGGUUUGCCUUCUCAGCAUGGGAUAAAUGUAAUACUGCCUCAGAUUUUGGCCCCAAGAAGUAUCUUGGAGAGUGCACCUAUGAUUGGGGCACCAUGAUGAACGGCGCUU